rnacentral:snRNA from 1 species
UUGCCCUCACUUCAGCUGCACAGAUACUAAAAUUGGAACGAUACAGAGAAGAUUAACGUGGCCCCUGCACAAGGAUGACAUGCAAAUUCGUGAAGCGUUCCACAUUUUU